rnacentral:rRNA from 1 species
AGAAUCAACGCUGGCGGCGUGCCUAACACAUGCAAGUCGAACGAGAAAGCUUGGUAGCAAUACUGAGUGAGUAAAGUGGCGUACGGGUGAGUAACACGUGGAUAACCUACCUCCGAAUGGGGAAUAACCCUGGGAAACCGGGGCUAAUACCGCAUAACAUCUUAGUACUUCGGUAUCGGGAUUGAAACCUGGAAACGGGGUUUGGAGAGGGGUCCGCGGCUGAUUAGCUAGUUGGUGAGGUAAUGGCCCACCAAGGCUUUGAUCGGUAGCCGGCCUGAGAGGGCGGACGGCCACACUGGAACUGAAACACGGUCCAGACUCCUACGGGAGGCAGCAGUGGGAAUUUUGCGCAAUGGGGGAAACCCUGACGCAGCAACGCCGCGUGGAUGAUGAAGCCCCUUGGGGUGUAAAAUCCUUUCGGCAGGGACGAAACCCGAGCAAUCGGGCGGACGGUACCUGAAGAAGAAGCCCCGGCUAACUCCGCGCCAGCAGCCGC